UCUACUCUUGAUAGUAUGGAUUGACGGCAUGUUAUUCAUUUGAAAGACAUUUUACAUGUUUCAACUCUUUCUCUUCUCCUUCCCUCUCUCCUUCUACAGGUCAGUAAAGGUUAUUCUUCAUUCUAUUGAGAAGGUUGAUGUUACACUGAUUGUCUCUUACGUUGUGAAGAAUGCUUCAUGGUCACCAAUUUAUGAUAUCAGAGUGUUCACUAAAGAUAAGACUCGGAAGUACUCCUGUAUAAAAUGCCCCUAAAGAAGAAGCCAAAAAGGGAGAGCUUUAAGAAAAAGGAUCAACAAGCUAUGGUAAAAAGUUUUCUCGAGUGUGAAGAAGAAGUAGUUGUGUCAUCUGAAAUCCAAGGAACCUCUCAUUACUUGUAUUAAAGAGAUGAUAAAAGACUACUCUUCGAGCUACAUGUACUCUUGUUUGUUUUAUCUCCAUUCAAAAAGAAAGCACUUUAUUAUAUAUCCGCUAGCUCUGGUAGGCAGACAGAAAAGCUCGUUAAAGUGGGGGUGUUUCACACUCCUACUCCUUUAACCCCACAUUAUGGACUCCUGUCCAAAAUACAUAGAUUAUUAUAAAGAAAGAGGAAGGUGCUGAUGGUAUCUUCCAGUCAACAGUACACCCCGAGGCAGUGAAUGGAGUGAUGGAGUUCAUGACUCGUUUUGAAGAGAAAAUGUCCUCACUGGAUGAGCGAUACCUUGAACUGUCCACUCAGAAGAAGAAGAUGGAGGAAGAGCUGAAAGUACUCACUACAAAACUUGAUAAUCUUAACAGUUCUUAUCAAGGAAAGGAGAGAGUAAGGUUAGACUAUUCAAUAAUAAUUAGUUAAUUUAAGCUUGCAUGAAUCUACAUGUACACGUACAUGUAUUUGUUACUCAUUCAGUACAAUCAUGUACCGGAACAUAUGUACUACACCACAUUUCCUAUACCACUACACAAGCGUACAAUCACAUUUUAAAAAUCUACCCGCACAUUAUACACAACAUUUUUAUCUUUUAAAGAAAAGGUUUAUGUGUUUACAUUAUUAACUAACAGACAGUAAAAAACAAUGGUAAUAUGUUGGUAUUAAUAUAAUAAUAAUACACAAACAGAACUACACAACGCAUGAAUGGAUAUACCCAAAUAAGGCAAUAAGACUAAUAUUGGAACUAAUAUCUAGUGCUGGGCGAUAGUGCUACUAUCAUAUCACGAU
rnacentral:misc_RNA from 1 species